AUGGCCAUGUUCCAGAAGCAUUCUCUCCUGCCGUUUCGCCCACAUCUAUGGCAGGUAUCCUCAGAGGUUGUGAGAAAUAAUAAUAAUAAUAAUAAUAAUAAUAAUAAUAAUAAUAAUAAUAAUAAUAAUAGGGUUGUUGUAUGCAUUCCAGGCUGUAUGGCCAUGUUCCGGAAGCAUUCUCUCCUGCCGUUUCGCCCACAUCUAUGGCAGGCAUCCUCAGAGGUUGUGAGAAAUAAUAAUAAUAAUAAUAAUAAUAAUAAUAAUAAUAAUAAUAGGGUUGUUGUAUGCAUUCCAGGCUGUAUGGCCAUGUUCCGGAAGCAUUCUCUCCUGCCGUUUCGCCCACAUCUAUGGCAGGCAUCCUCAGAGGUUGUGAGAAAUAAUAAUAAUAAUAAUAAUAAUAAUAAUAAUAAUAAUAAUAAUAAUAGGGUUGUUGUAUGCAUUCCAGGCUGUAUGGCCAUGUUCCGGAAGCAUUCUCUCCUGCCGUUUCGCCCACAUCUAUGGCAGGCAUCCUCAGAGGUUGUGAGAAAUAAUAAUAAUAAUAAUAAUAAUAAUAAUAAUAAUAAUAAUAAUAAUAAUAGGGUUGUUGUAUGCAUUCCAGGCUGUAUGGCCAUGUUCCGGAAGCAUUCUCUCCUGCCGUUUCGCCCACAUCUAUGGCAGGCAUCCUCAGAGGUUGUGAGAAAUAAUAAUAAUAAUAAUAAUAAUAAUAAUAAUAAUAAUAAUAAUAAUAAUAAUAGGGUUGUUGUAUGCAUUCCAGGCUGUAUGGCCAUGUUCCGGAAGCAUUCUCUCCUGCCGUUUCGCCCACAUCUAUGGCAGGCAUCCUCAGAGGUUGUGAGAAAUAAUAAUAAUAAUAAUAAUAAUAAUAAUAAUAAUAAUAAUAAUAAUAAUAGGGUUGUUGUAUGCAUUCCAGGCUGUAUGGCCAUGUUCCGGAAGCAUUCUCUCCUGCCGUUUCGCCCACAUCUAUGGCAGGCAUCCUCAGAGGUUGUGAGGUCUGUUAGAAACUAG
rnacentral:lncRNA from 1 species